GUAGGUGGCAAGCGUUGUCCGGAAUUAUUGGGCGUAAAGCGCGCGCGGGCGGUUCUUUAAGUCUGAUGUGAAAGCCCACGGCUCAACCGUGGAGGGUCAUUGGAAACUGGAGAACUUGAGUACAGAAGAGGAAAGCGGAAUUCCACGUGUAGCGGUGAAAUGCGUAGAGAUGUGGAGGAACACCAGUGGCGAAGGCGGCUUUCUGGUCUGUAACUGACGCUGAGGCGCGAAAGCGUGGGGAGCAAACAGGGAUUAGAUACCCUGGUAGUCCACGCCGUAAACGAUGAGUGCUAAGUGUUAGGGGGUUUCCGCCCCCUUAGUGCUGCAGCUAACGCAUUAAGCACUCCGCCUGGGGAGUACGACCGCAAGGUUG
rnacentral:rRNA from 1 species